rnacentral:rRNA from 1 species
GUGGGGAAUCUUGCGCAAUGGGCGAAAGCCUGACGCAGCCAUGCCGCGUGAAUGAUGAAGGUCUUAGGAUUGUAAAAUUCUUUCACCGGGGACGAUAAUGACGGUACCCGGAGAAGAAGCUCCGGCUAACUUCGUGCCAGCAGCCGCGGUAAUACGAAGGGGGCUAGCGUUUCUCGGAAUUACUGGGCUUAAAGGGCGCGUAGGCGGACAGCUUAGUCAGAGGUGAAAGCCCAGUGCUCAACCUUGGAAUUGCCUUUGAUACUGGCUGUCUUGAGUUUGGGAGAGGUGAGUGGAACUCCGAGUGGAGAGGUGAAAUUCGUAGAUAUUCGGAAGAACACCAGUGGCGAAGGCGACUCACUGGCCCAAUACUGACGCUGAGGCGCGAAAGCGUGGGGAGCAAACAGGAUUAGAAACCCUAGUAGUCC